AUACGGAGGGUGCGAGCGUUAAUCGGAAUUACUGGGCGUAAAGGGUCCGUAGGCGGUCUGCUUAGUCUGAUGUGAAAGCCCCGGGCUUAACCUGGGAAUGGCAUUGGAUACUGGCGGACUAGAGUCUGGUAGAGGGUGGUGGAAUUCCCGGUGUAGCGGUGAAAUGCGUAGAUAUCGGGAGGAACAUCAGUGGCGAAGGCGGCCACCUGGACCAAGACUGACGCUGAGGGACGAAAGCGUGGGGAGCAAACAGGAUUAGAAACCCUAGUAGUCC
rnacentral:rRNA from 1 species